CCGAGUCGCACGAGAUAUAUUGAAACGCGGCGCGACGAUCUGUUUGCGACAAAAAAAAAUAUAUUGGUGCUGGUCUUUUGCUAAAUUUAAAUUUAAAAAUAAAUAGCAACGGUUUUUCAUGAAAUCGGAAAAAACGCAACGCAGAUGAAAAGCCAGAAGACGUAUAAAAAAAUAAAAUCGGGAGCGACAGGCACAAAAUAUCAACGCAUAAAUAAAACGGCCCCGUGACGUGUCGCAUUUGCCUCAGACUCUCCGUCUCUCUCUGUCUUUCUCUCUCUCUCUCUCUCUCUCUCUGCCGGCUGCAUUCUCAGUGCUCCUUGGAUUUAGCUGGUGCAGCUUCUCCACCGGCGGAUUAUGUAAAGUGGCACAAGCCACGGGCCCAGGCAAAAAAUACGCACGGAAAUUUUGUUGUUGUUUUCGGUGAGAAUUCGUUUGCGUGAAAUCAAAGUGCCAAUGUGCAAAUGUAACCAAAUGAAUGUGUAUCUCAUGCUGCGCCGUUUGUAUCUCAGUCUUUGUCGCCAGUAAAUGUAUCUAAUUUAUUUUGCAUCUAUUGCAAUUGAGCGGCCACCGUGGCAGCCAGUGGAUGCAUCCGCAAGAUACGACAAAGUUGUCUAAUUGCCGUCAGCAGUUAAUUUGUCGCCUGUGUAUGUGUGUGUGUGUGUAUCUGUGUGUGUAUCGAAUUACAAGCGAAAUUGCAAAUAUUCAAAUGCAAAUUGUUGCCGCUUCAAGUGAAACACAAGGCAUAUUGAAAAUGUCAGGAAUUGUUGCUGCUGAAAAAUAAAUAAAAAAUAAAACAAAAAUACAAAUAAAAAAGAAAGUGAAAAAGAACCAAAAUAAAACGCAAUUGCGGCCAAAAGCAUUUGCCAAAAUAACGUAAUCAACAUGUCAUCCUAUCGCAGUUAUACACCCUGGAAAUCGAACCUGGGCAGUUCUUACAAGCCGGCCAGCUCAACAUAUACACUGGGCUCCGAUAUUGGCAGCGGCUCCAGCUCUCGCUAUAGUUCACUGGCCACGCCAAGCUCCUACAGGCCCUCGUUUUCGGGUGGCACAUACCGCAUCAAGCGCGAUCCUCCCGCACCAGCGCCCGCCGUUACCAGCUACGUGAGUCGCUACGGCUGCGCUGCCAAGACAGAUGCCACCAAGGACGCCAACGCCAGUGCCAGUGACCGGAGCAGCCCCAUCAAGCGUUACACGAGCGCCAGCAGUAAACUGAGCAAAUAUGGAAGAUCACGGGAUCCCAGUCCGGUGGCGCUGGAGCACACGAAUCGUGGCAAGUCCAAGUCGCGAGAUCCCAGUCCAGUGUUGGACAGCGCGAGGAGCAAACUGGGCAGCGCGGCAUAUCGCAGCAGUGCCUCAAGAAACGGCUACAACAGUCGCUAUGCGCCAGCUGCACGACUCAAUGGCACCAGCACCCCAUUGGACAAGUCCAUAUCCUAUCUGACCACAAGCGAUUUUCAUGCGAGGACCGCAAGUCGCGCCAAGGCCAGCAGGGAGAAGGAGCUGGAGGUCAUAGAGCAGCCAGCGGAGUUGACCGCGAAGUCGGCCAAAGAGCCAUCGACGGAGGAUGCGCUAAGCACCAAAGAGCAGAAGGAGCAGCAGCAGCAGCAGCCGGAGGAGGAGCCCCCUCCGCCAUUGGAAACCUUUGUCUCUGUGCUGGUGGUCACACGCGCCACUUCACCCACCCCGCCGGGCAGCACCACCGUGCAGCGUACACGCCGCAUUGACAUAGCCAAAACGAUUGAGAAGACCAUACAGCGCUCGACGAAGCCGCGCCAGAUGCUGGAGAAGGAGAUCCAGUCGGAUCGCCUGGACGACUCUACGCGCUACCUGCGCUACAGCGCCGGCAGCAGCAGCAUCAGCUCCAAUUACAGCACGCACAGGGAUCGCAUCAGCAGCUUGCGCUACAGCGCCAGUCCGCAGGCGAGCAGCUCACCCAAAUCCGGCACACCGAGCGUGGAAGCGUGCAAGCCGCAGCCCACGGAGUCGGCGUCGCCCAAGAGCAAUGCCAGCGUGAGCUUGGCCAGCUCCAAGUCCAGCAGCAAGUCCAAGCUGUCGCCGCCCAAGGCGUUGCGCCUGAACUCGCGGCAAUCCUCGGUGGAGAAUCUGGUGAAUAAGCCGCCGGCUGCGCCUAGCAAGGUGGAGUCGCCCACCAAAAACGGCGGCAGCAGCAGCAGCAGCAGCCAGAACAACUCGAGCAGCGCCCUAGCCAAGUGGCCUUGGCCCAACAAGGACUUCCGCAAGAGCUCACUCAACGUGGGCCCCACGGAUCGGCCACGCAAAUCUCGCACGCCCAGCAGCGGUGGCGAGUCCGAGGAGCCGGCAGCUGGCGGCGGCACGCAGCUGGAACGCUCGCCCAGCGCGGGCUCCGAAGGUAGCCUAAUCUCCGCAAGCAGCGCACGCAAGGCGUCAGCCAAGCAGACAAAUGGCAAGACGGCAACCGGCACAAAGAUGAAGGCGCACAAAUCAUGCGCGCCCAGCAGCGUGAGUGGGAGUGGCAGCACGAGCGGGAGCACGAGUGGAAGCAGUGCCAGCUGCACGACCACCUCCGCCUGCUCCUCCUCGGACAGCGAGGCGGUGCGCGGCAAGACGUCGGCCAAAAAGCAGAGCAAGAAAAAGACGCCGUCAACUGGCAGCCAGCAGAAGGGCAAAGAGAAGCAGAGGGAAAUAGAGCGCGAGCGGGCGGGGCAGCCAGAGAAAGAAGCAAAGCAGCAAACAGGUGAGGGCAGCGAUUCGGCUGCCAAACAAUUAACAAUGGGACACCAAAAUAGCCACAAAUCUGCCACUGACUCACGCUCCGGCGAGGCGGUCGGCGGGACGCAGUCGCGUCUGCAGAAGCUCUCGGGCGUAUCGAAUUUUUUUGCUACUCGUCAGCCGGACGCAAAUAGUGAGCCGAUCUUCCUCGAAAGCUCCGAGAGCGCUGGCAGCGAAUCGGAGCAGCCGGCCGCGUUGGUCAGUCUGAUGCUAGACACGCAAACGAACGAACCAACGUCAAGCCUAGGAGCAAAUCCUUCACUGACGACGACGACAACGAACCAAACGACGCCCAGUUCCACCACGCACUGUCCCGGAGAAACGACGACGACGAGGACAAAGCUGACGCCCAGUACGGAGAGUCUGGAAAGCGAAGCGCAGCCUUCACUCGAGGAGCACACGGAGGAGCCCAGCUGGUGGCAGGACACCAGCCUGCAAAUCAAUACAGACUCCGCCUUGGACUACAAUAAUCGCAGCGAGAUGCCCUUCAGGCUGCGACACAUCGAUUCCGGCGAUGAUCAGGCCUGGUGGCUGCGACCGGAUGAUGCUGCCGGUGAUGAGGAUGAUACGCUGGCGGAGGCAACGCUCAAUCCGCUGGACGAUGAGCAGGACGCUAGUGCGGCCACGGUGUCGCAGGGCGAGCGAGGAGGAGGAGGAGGAGGAGGACAAAGUCAGACGGGCUGGUGGAGCAGCAGCAAGGACGAAAACGAGAUUCAAAACGAAAGCAAAACGAGCAACGGCUUUGGCCCAGACGCGGAGCAGGAUCAGGAACAGGCGGAGCAGCAGCAGCACAGCCAGGAGAUCAGGCGCAUGCCGCGCAGUCGCAUCUCGCCGGAGCACGAUGCCUGGUGGCUGGAAGAUGAGCAGCCCCAGGACACCAAAUCGAAUGGCUACCACGAAGAUUGCAAUAACAACAGCAACAACAACAGCGAGCCGCACGUGGAGGUGACCCUCAAGCUGCCCAGCAGCGGGCGCAGCUCCAAGCAGUCCACCCAAUCCACGGAGAGCGCACAAUCCUGGUGGCAAGCGGCGCCCACCAAGAAGCUGUUCAAUGUGCAGCGUGUGGAGUCCGGCGAACGCGCCUGGUGGCAGGAGAAGGAGAACGAACCGCCGCCAGUGAAGCAGCCAACGCCGCCGACUCCGCCGCCGCCGCCGCGCAUCAUCAAGCACUGGGAGUCGGGUGAGCGCGCCUGGUGGCUGCAGGAAGAGGAGGAGGAGGAGCAGGUGCAAACGGAGACACCACCACCUGCCGUCGAUCAGGUGGAUGCCCAAAUGGAGCGGCGAAUUGGUGCGCAGGAGGCGCCCAGCGAGCUGAGCAGCUCCUUCAACUUCGCCUACUCGGUGCGUCCACCGCCGUUGGGACAAUGCGCCAGUCCGGUGCCCGCAGAGCCCGGCGAGCAACGAAAGCUCUGUGCAUCGCCCUACGAUAACAUUCCAAUGUCAAAAGUUCAAAUGGCAGCGCCGCAGUCGCAGUUGCAGUCACCGUCGCCGCCAACGCCGCCGCCCCGUUACUCUUAUACACCGCCAGCGGGCCGUGUGGGCGAUAAGCUUUUUAUUUCGCGCCAUCAAAACAUUGACGAGCUUUUGGGCGGCGCAUGCCGACCGCUCAGUCCGCUCUUUUACAGCGGCGCCGCGGAGAGCGAGGCGACGUCACUGCCGCUGGCGAGCAAGAAUAUGUUUCUGCUCGAGGAGAUUACGCCGGAUCAGGUGCGCAUUCACGAUAGCACCGCUCAGUUGCCGGUCAUACAGCGCAUGCAGCGCGAUGUGGAAUGGCUAGAGAAUGGCAACAGCAGCAACUUUUAUGAGCAACAGAAGCAGCAGCCGCAGCAGCGCAGGAUCGAUGACGCAGCUAUUCAGGUGUACAAGGAUGGUGACUUUGGCGCCUAUCUGGAUCUGGAGUCAUCGCUGGCCGAACAGACCGAGGAAAUCGAGGGCCUUCAAGCCAGUCGCAAAAACUCUCUGGUCGUUCGCACACAGCUGAGCGUACGCGUUCAUGCCAUAAUAGAGAAACUACUCUCAUCGGAGGGCAGCGAUCUGCGCCGCGCCCUCUUUUCGCUCAAGCAGGUGUUCCAGGAGGAUAAGGAUCUGGUGCACGCAUUCGUCGCUCUGGGCGGUCUCAAUUGCCUGGUGCGCGUGGGCAAUUGCGCCGAUCAGAACUAUCAGAACUAUAUACUGCGUGCUCUUGGCCAGGUCAUGCUCUAUGUGGAUGGCAUGAAUGGCGUCAUGAAGCACCAGCCCACCAUGGAGUGGCUGUACUCAUUGAUCGCCUCCAAUUACCGAUCAGUGGUCAAGACGGCGCUUAAGCUUUUGCUCGUGUUUGUGGAAUAUGCCGAGUCCAAUUGUUAUGUGCUGGUGAGCGCCAUUCAUGCGGUCGACAAAGCCCAAGGCACACUGCCCUGGGCCAAUAUUAUGAGACUGCUUAAGGACUACGACAAUGCAGAUGCGGAGCUGGUGAUCUAUGCCACGUCGCUGAUCAACAAAACGCUAGCGGGUCUCACGGAUCAGGAUAGCUUCUAUGAUGAGAGCGAUCUGCUCGAACAGCAGGGCAUGGAAACGGUUAUACAGCGCUACAUGUCCAAGCCGGGCACAGAUCUCGAUCUGCUCGAUCAGCUGCAGCUGUACGAGGCCGUCUUGAAAUUCGAGGAUGGCGAAUCGGAUGGCCAGCGUUUGCCGCAGAACUCAUUGCGCAAGACGCAACGUUAUCGGCCCGGCUCGGGCACCACAGAGCGCCGCAAGUCGCGCCGCCACAGCACGGACAACAGUCCGGCGCCCUUGACCAAGGUGCUGCCCACCACGGUGCUGCGCAUGACGCCCACGCAGGCCACGCUCGAUGAGGACGACAGCUCCGGCUCCACAAACUCCACAGAGUUCGGCAACGGCAUAUUCCAGGAUAAGAAGCCAAGGGAUAGCGCUGGCGUCACGCCUGGACUGAGACGCCGCCGUGAGCGCGCCGAGCGGCACAAGAGCUUCCUCAAGGAGCAGGAGGAGGCGGCCGCCAAUGGCAUCUUUGCGGCACGUGAGCUGCGCGAAAGCUAUGGCCAAAUUGUAACCGCCAUUCCUGCAACCAUACAAAGCGGCGACAGCCCGCCGCAGUCAUUGCAAUCUGAGCUGCCGCAGCCGCAGCCACAGCUACAGCUACAGCUACAGCCACAGCCUCUGCCUGCGCCCACGCCCUACAACAUCAUCAGCAACAAUAUCCAGAACAACAAUAGCAACAACAAUAGCCAUCACACCCACAACAACCACAUUGACACGCCCAACAACAGCCUGCUGCUGAGCCCCACCAAGCAGCUAUUGAGUGGCAGCCAGAGCAUCUCGAUCAUCAACAACAGCUUCGACAAGGCCAACAAUAAUAUGAACAAUCAGAAUGAGUUCCUUACCAAAAAGAAUCUCUUUCGGGAGCGCAACGCAACUGUGAUCAAUGGCAUCAUGAAGAACAUACAGCAGACGGACAGUGCUUACAAAAAGUAUGAGAACGAUGCCAAUCGCCUGAACAACUACUACACACAGCUCAGCCAAUCGCCCAAGCAUCAGCUGGUGGCCACAGCACAGGAUGUGCUCAGUCCCAAAAAGACGCUGAACGCCUUUGAAUUUGCGCCCGCCAGCUCGACGCCGCUGAAGGCAGAUGCGCUGCCCGCACCCGAACCGCUGAGUCCCAUACACAAGCCGGCGGUUGUGGCGCCACCACCACCACCACCACCGCCGCCGCCGCCACCACCGCCAGGCUGGUGGCAUUUUCCCAUACAGCCAAAUGCAGCUAGAACCCUAACCAGUACUAACCCAGAGCCACAGCCUCAAGCAGCUAUGGAUGCGACAGAUCUGGAGGACAAGGAAAUGUUAAUGCAGCUGAAACGCGAUCAUACAGUCAAAGAUCUGACACAGAAACUAUGCAAUCUGCCCACAAGUCCCACACAGGAGGUGCCCGGCAGUCGGGCCAUAGUCGGUGACAUGUCUGGCCUCAUAUCGAAAGCCAAAGAGGGGCUUGCCAAGAGCAAGAGCAAAGGUGAAAUUUCACGAUCAUCGAGCGUUGAUCAGGAACUGAAAAAGGCUGAGCCGAAGAAAUCGGAGAACGAGCUGCACUGGGAGGAGCUGGUGCGGAAUAUGACACGUCCAUUGAAUCUGUGUGAUCUGGACUUUACCGAUCUACAUUCGGACGAUGAGAAGGAUGUGCUGGCGCCGCGUGGUCUCGGCGCUGGCAUACCCCCACCACCGCCUCCCCAGGCGGGUGGCAUGGUCAUGCCGCCGCCUAUGAUGCCGCCGAGCCUGGCGCCGCCGCCCAUGUUCAGCUACGGGGGCUACGGUGCCGGCAGCCUGACCAACAGCGUGAACAGCUCACUGAACGGCUCCAUCAACGGGGAGCUGGCCAAUGGCAACAACACCAUCAAGAAGAACAAGAAGACGGUCAAGCUCUUCUGGAAGGAAGUGCGCGAGGACAUGAUACCGCAGGUGAUAGGUAAGACCAUUUGGGAUGAGCUGCCCAAUGCGAAUGUGGACACGCAAAAGCUCGAGCAUCUCUUUGAGUCGCGGGCCAAAGACUUGAUGACCAAGAAGCAACAGGAGCUGAACAAGAGCAAAGAGAUCAUCGUGCUGGACCACAAGCGCUCCAAUGCCAUCAACAUUGCGAUCACCAAGCUACCGCCGCCGCGCGCCAUUAAGGCGGCCAUUCUGAAGAUGGAUGCAACUGUGGUGACCAGGGAGGGCAUUGACAAGCUGCUGAACAUGCUGCCCACGGAUGAGGAGCGCGGCAAGAUACAGGAGGCACAGCUAUCGAAUCCAGAGCUGCCGCUGGGCAGCGCCGAGCAGUUCCUACUGACCCUGGCCUCCAUCACGGAGCUGGGCGCACGCCUUAAGCUGUGGGCCUUCCGUCUGGACUUUGAUAACUGCGAGAGAGAGAUUGCCGAACCGCUGAUGGAUCUCAAGCAAGGCAUUGAGAUUCUGCGUCAGAAUCGCACCUUUCGCAGCAUACUCUCCACGCUGCUGUCGGUGGGCAUCUUUCUGAAUGGGGCGCCGGUCAAGGGCUUCCAGAUCGAGUAUCUGGCCAAGGUGCCCGAGGUGAAGGACACGGUGCACAAGCACUCGCUGCUGCAUCAUCUCUGCCACAUGGUCAUGGAGUCCAGCAGCGAUACAAGCGAUUUGUAUUCGGAAAUUGGACCCAUUACGCGCGCCUCCAAGGCGGACUUCGCCGACCUUGCCCACAAUCUGACCCAACUGGAGUCAGAGUGCAAGGCCUCCUGGGAUCGCCUCAAGCUGAUUGCCAAGCACGACUGUGCGCCGCCGCUGAAACAGAAACUCGUCGACUUUCUGGCCGAUUGUGCAGAGCGCAUCAUCAGCCUGCAGAUUGUGCAUCGGCGCGUAAUGAAUCGCUACCGCAAGUUCCUGCUGUGGCUGGGUAUGCCGCAGCACAGUGUGUCCGAGUCGCGACCCAACGAGUUCUGUCGCACGCUCUCCGAGUUCGCGCUGGAGUAUCGCACGACACGGGAGCGCGUCCAGCAGCAGCUGGAGAAGAAGGCCAAUCAUCGCGAGCGCAACAAGACACGCGGCAAGCUGAUCAUCGACAUGGCCAAGUUCAAGACCAAAGAAGAUGUGGCCGAUGCCGAGCUAAAGCAACUGCUGGGCACGCCCAGCGCGGAUCAGGCCGACGGCACACUCACCUGGCGACGCCGGCGCGCCGAGCAGCUGCGUUCGCCCAUCGCCAGGCAGAGCGAGGAGCAGUUUACCGAUGGCGAUGAUGAAAUACUUGAAUCUCUCGUCAAGACGGCCACCAAGGCCUCCGGCAACCGCACCACGCCCCGGGAGCGCAAGCGUACACGCCAUGCGGAUCGCAAGUCCUUGAAGCGCAGCCGCACGCGCGAGGGAUUCACAGUUGAAAGAGCGCCAUCGCCAUAGAACCGUUGCGCAGCUGUUGCGCAACUGUUACCGAAAAGAACAGUCAAACUGUUCUCAUUUAGGUUUUUACCCCUUUAUUUUGUGCGUCGAACGCUGAAGAACGGUCUCACCGAUGAGGAGAAGCAGCAUGUGUCUGCCCUAAUACAAACCUAUUAAAGCUAAGAAAAUCCCCUGGGCGAAACCCUAAUCCCAUCCCAGAAACCCGAGCAAACCUCGCCAGUGACGUCACAAGUCCGGGCAAUGCGCGCACAGACUGAAAUUGGCGAUCUCAUGUGCAGCAGCAGAUGCAGCCGAGCAAUAGGUACACGAAACUAGUAGUUCCGGUUCCGGUUCCGGAACCGUUGUACCGCAACUCCCAUAAAUCUGAAACGACACAGUCCUACAGAAGUUCUCUUAAUCCAUUUCUGUUAUUCGAUAUUUGUUUUUACUUCGUCUAAGUAUUAAAAUUAAACAUAUUUUUUAUUUUGUAAC
rnacentral:misc_RNA from 1 species